AUUGCCUCAGUAACGGCGAGUGAAGCGGCAACAGCUCAAAUUUGAAAUCUGGCCCCAGGCCCGAGUUGUAAUUUGCAGAGGAUGCUUUUGGCGCGGUGCCUUCCGAGUUCCCUGGAACGGGACGCCAUAGAGGGUGAGAGCCCCGUCUGGUUGGACACCAAGCCUCUGUAAAGCUCCUUCGACGAGUCGAGUAGUUUGGGAAUGCUGCUCAAAAUGGGAGGUAUAUGUCUUCUAAAGCUAAAUACCGGCCAGAGACCGAUAGCGCACAAGUAGAGUGAUCGAAAGAUGAAAAGCACUUUGAAAAGAGAGUUAAAUAGCACGUGAAAUUGUUAAAAGGGAAGCGUUUAUGACCAGACUUGGGCCGGUUAAUCAUCCAGCGUUCUCGCUGGUGCACUUUGCCGGUCCAGGCCAGCAUCAGUUCGUCGCGGGGGAUAAAGGCGUCGGGAAUGUGGCUCCUCGGAGUGUUAUAGCCCUUCGCGCAAUACCCUGCGGUGGACUGAGGUUCGCGCUCUGCAAGGAUGCUGGCGUAAUGGUCAUCAACGACCCGUCUUGAAACACGGACCAAGGAGUCGUCUUCGUAUGCGAGUGUUCGGGUGUAAAACCCCUACGCGUAAUGAAAGUGAACGCAGGUGAGAGCUUCGGCGCAUCAUCGACCGAUCCUGAUGUUCUCGGAUGGAUUUGAGUAAGAGCAUACGGGGCCGGACCCGAAAGAAGGUGAACUUGGCCUGUAUAGGCUGAAGCCAGAGGAAACUCUGGUGGAGGCUCGCAGCGGUUCUGACGUGCAAAUCGAUCGUCAAAUAUGGGCAUGGGGGCGAAAGACUAAU
rnacentral:rRNA from 1 species